GAACCCCCCGACACCCCCAAAAUGAGGCUGGGCGCCCCCCCCGAGCUGUGGGGUGAGGUAGAUGUGUGGUGGUGGUGGGGGUCUGGGGACCCCUCCCUGUAUUUCAUUUUGGGGGGCAGGGGGGUGGAAGAACCGGGAGGCCCCUGGGGAGAGUUCUGGGGGGGGGGGGGUGGCGAGGAGCUGGAAGCAAUUUGGGGAGGGGGGGGAUAUUGGCGGGGGGAGAUGGACGGACAGACCCCCGGUGGGGGGGAGGGGGUGUGAAGCCUUUUUUUUGGGGUGAGGGGGGGGGAUGGGGAUGCUCAGUUCCCCCCCCACCUUGCGACCCCCCCCCAAUCUUUGGUUGCAAGAGCCCCCCCCGCGGGACCCCCUGAUUGUCGCUGGGUGUGGGGGGGGACAGCGAGGAUGGGGGGCGCGGGGGGGCUCUAAAGUGCCUGAUUGACCCUCGGGGCGCCCGUCAAAGCGGGGGGGGGGGGGGAGGUUUUGGGGGGGUUAUUGCACUUGACCGACCCCCCGGGGCAGGAAUGGCUGGGGGGGGGUUGGGAAGCACCCCCGGCCCUGCGGGGGGGCUGUGCCCGGAGGUUGGGGUGGGUGGGGGGGGGAUGGGGGUUCUCUAUGGGCCCCCCUCCCCCAGCACCCCCAGACCCCGAGCCGGGGGCACCGGGGUGGGGGGGGGGCAGCAGAAGGCACGGGGGGCACCGGGGCCGGCGGGGCGCGGGCCCUGGAAGCACGAGGGGUGGGGGGCGGCCGGGACCCCCGGUGCCCCCCCCGGGGCAGCGCGCGGCAGCGGGGUCUUACCGUGCCUGCGCUGCCCAGAGAGAGGUGACCGAGCUGCUGGGCCAGGGGGGCCACCACGGAGGGCUGGAGGGGGACGGCGUGGUCAACGGCGGGGGCCAGCACCGCGCCCUGGGGGACACGGGGACAGACAUGGGGACAGACAUGGGGGACACGGCGGGGGGCCAGCACCGCGCCCUGGGGGACACGGGGACAGACAUGGGGACAGACAUGGGGACACGGCGGGGGCCAGCACCGCGCCCUGGGGGACACGGGGACAGACAUGGGGACACCGGGACAGACAUGGGGACAGACAUGGGGACACGGCGGGGGCCAGCACCGCACCAUGGGGGACACGGGGACAGACAUGGGGACAGACAUGGGGACACGGCGGGGGCCAGCACCGCGCCCUGGGGGACACGGGGACAGACAUGGGGACACCGGGACAGACAUGGGGACACAGGGACAGACAUGGGGACACGGCGGGGGCCAGCACCGCGCCCUGGGGACACGGGGACAGACAUGGGGACAGACAUGGGGACACGGCGGGGGCCAGCACCGCGCCCUGGGGGACAUGGGGACAGACAUGGGGACACCGGGACAGACAUGGGGACACAGGGACAGACAUGGGGACAGACAUGGGGACACGGCGGGGGCCAGCACCGCACCCUGGGGGACAUGGGGACAGACAUGGGGACACCGGGACAGACAUGGGGACAUGAGGACAGACAUGGGGACAGACAUGGG
rnacentral:lncRNA from 1 species